GAGCACUUAACCACUGAGCCACAUUGCUUAGUACCUUGUUAAGUUGCUAAGACUGGCUUUGAACUCAAGAUCUUCCUGCCUUAGCCUCCCAAACUGCAGGGAUUACAGGUGUGCGCGACUGCACCCGGCCUCAUCAUUCUUUUUUGCACCAUCUGUUCAUGCUGCUGCUCCAGGGACCACUUUGUGAAGGACCUUUGUGAAGGAUGGUUCUUUUCUGCCUCCAGUGAUCCAAGAGAGGCCAAAUGAGCAAAACUUGGGAAUAGCCAUUCCCGAUUAAACCAGGACAAAUGAGCCCAUUCUGAUUUUACCUUCCAAAAAGAUUCUGGUGGAAAAUAAAAAGUAUGUGAUUCAUUGUUAUAAAGUAG
rnacentral:lncRNA from 1 species